AUCUCGUGAGAGUGAGCUAACCCCAAAAACCCGACCUUAGUUCGAAUUGCAGGCUGCAAUUCGCCAGCAUGAAACCAGAAUCGCUAGUAAUCGUCGGUCAAUCAUACGGCGGUGAAUCCGCUCCCGGGCCUUGUACACACCGCCCGUCACACUAUGGGAGCUGUCCAUUCUUGAAGUCGUUACCUUAACCGCAAGGAGGGGAUGCUGAAGGCAGGGAUAGUGACUACCGUUGAAAUUAUGGUUUUUAUCUAUAGCAAUAAUUAUAUGGCUCAUGAUCGAGCAUAUUUGAGAUUUUUGCUUAUAUGGGUUUUUUCAGCACUUCCAACUCGGGAGCAAUUCGAACGACAAGUCGACAAGACUUGAUCAACAGAUUCAACUCUUUUGAUCACAAUUUCUUUAACUCCUAAGCAAUUCGAACAACAAAACUUGGUCAACAGAUUCAAUACUGGGAUUGUCAGAAGUUUGAGCAUCAGGUGUUCAGUGACAAGCGCACAGAGAUUCUUUUAAACAUAUUUCAAAAUCUCCUCAUUGAGCUAGCAUGUUUUAGUGAUUAAGAAAAAAAGAGACUUACAUAUGUCUCCACCCUUAGGACGAUGCUGAUGUAGAUGCGGUGCCUCUGAUCAGUUCUGGCACCACCUUCCUCCUCUUCCUAUUGCUACCUUGAGGAGAAUGGGGUCCUUUAUCUCUUUCCCAGUCUGACCACCUCCCAUCCACGUGAUGUCGGCAUGUUCUACUGCAGGAAUUUUCUCGACAUCAUCUCAUGCAUGAGUUUUUUCUGUCUUCCCUGCUCAGCCAUUGCCUGCUUUGACCACCACCUUUUGUUCAGGGGUUCAUCCUCCUCCGUCUACUUGAAAGCUGCCUAGUGGGAAAGCUGCCUAGUGGGAACCGAGACCUGUUCUGAUUCAACAGAAGAUGACACUCAUUGUUAUGAUCUGGCAACUAGAACAUUGAGAGGGCACACCAUUUCUUGUUAGUUCUUUAUGGAAUCCUUUGUGCCACUGGUCUGUUGGUGUCGAUCCUUCUCUCUUAUGUUGAAGGUCGUGCAAUUCCUCCUUUUUUUUGCGAUCUCUGGGUACACUUAAUGCAAUUGCACGAGUAAUCCUACCAUUAAUCUUAGGGGUUGGUCUGUCCCAUAUGGUUAUUAGUCUUCUUUACAAUGGGUACAUGGAGAUGAGCAAGGGAUGCUAGAGAGGAAGAAAGAGCAUGGCCUUGCUAUAAUAAUAGUUGAUCAAAUAGACUAGAGCUUUGUCACCCUACCUUGUAUCUCAGUUAGUUAAUGUAUUGAAUAAUGCAUAGUCUCUUAGUUUCUUUGGCCUCUGUUCUGCCCUGGGAAGGGAGUAGCAGCGAUAAGCUUUGUAAUGCUCCUAAUUUCGAUUUUUGAUGAUUGUUGCAACUUUAAUUGAAGACUUCCCCUUUGUUGUUGUAUCCAUUUAUGAAAUCUCAAAAUCUUUCCUGCUU